UACGUAGGGUGCAAGCGUUGUCCGGAAUUAUUGGGCGUAAAGCGCUCGUAGGCGGUUUGUCGCGUCUGGUGUGAAAACCCGAGGCUCAACCGCGGGCCUGCAGUGGGUACGGGCAGACUAGAGUGCGGUAGGGGAGAUUGGAAUUCCUGGUGUAGCGGUGGAAUGCGCAGAUAUCAGGAGGAACACCGAUGGCGAAGGCAGAUCUCUGGGCCGUAACUGACGCUGAGGAGCGAAAGCGUGGGGAGCGAACAGG
rnacentral:rRNA from 1 species